rnacentral:lncRNA from 1 species
GUAUUUUAUGAUCCUUAAUAUUAUAAAAUAAUUAUUUUAUUUUUUGCUAAAUUAUAUAAAAUCUUCCUGUCAAAACCCAAAUUUUCACUUUUUUUUCAAUCAUUUAAAAAUUUACACUUUUCCCCCUUCUAAAAUAAAAAAUGUUCACUGGGGAUACGGUGUGAACUAUAAUCACAAAAUGACCAUUUUGCCUCUCACCAUUUUCGUCUCCUCCCUCAUCUUGCUCAUCCUCUGCCUCGAUCGGUUGCGGUUUGCGCCUCGAUUGGCCGCGGUUUCUCUUUAUUUUUUUUCCCACUUGCUCUCCUCCUCCUGCAUCUCGUCGCCCCUUUAUUUCGGCGACAAUAAAGAGGAAAUUGAGGUGGGCGUGGAUGGAGAGGUGGGCAAGGGCAAUGAGAGCAAAGGCGAGGUGGCGGAGGAAAGCGGGGGGGUGUUUGUGGGCGCGGACGAAAAUGUGGGCGAGGGCAAGGCAGUAGAGGAGGGCGAGGCGACGAGGCAGAGGAGGGCGAAGCAACAGUAGAAAGGGCGGAGAGUAUUUUUGACAUAAAAAAAUAUUUUAUAACGGAAUCCUAAUAGAUCGCUAAUGGUAGGGGGUGAAGUGAAUAUUUUUUAUUUUACAAAGAGACAAAAUGUAGGUUUUUAAAUAAUAAAGGGCGAAAGUGAAAAAUCGAAUUUUGACCGAAUAUUUUUUGUAAUUUAGCCUUUAUUUUUCUAUAUUAUGAGAUCAUUUGGUUCACCGUAUUUCAAAUUACAAUAUAAAUAAAAUA